GAGAUCAGUAGCACAUGUCAGUGUGAAUUACAAACAGUUCAGCCGAAGCUCAGAAAAGUCUUUAUCGCCACCUGCUGGUCAAAGUGUAACUGCAACAGUUCAAAUCCUGAAUCAGCUCCUCGACUCGAUAUGAACACUUGAUAACAAUGAGAUGCUCUAGAAAGACUUUAUCAAUGUUUUUGUUGGGGUUUUUUAGCAAUGAUUCAAAUAUUAAUCUGAAAACUCCAACAGUUAAUGCAACCAUAAACUUUAUAUAACUUUCUGGGAAAGUUUGAUGCAACACUCAAAGUUUGAGCUCAUUUGCAGAUUUGAUGGUGAGCAUCAGUUUUCAAGUCUUGCAACGGAUUCUUAGGUCUGGCCUUUGACUAGGCCAUUACAAUCCCAGCAUCUAGGCCGUCCAGUAACAUCUCUGGCUGAAUGUUUAGAGCAGUUAUCCUGCCGGAAGGUGAACUUCAACAAAACUGCAUUUAAAAUACACUUUUCCUCAGAAAUCUCGUCUCCUACAGAUAAAAAAAUCAAAACAUCCAAAGAUCUGAACUUGUUUUUCUUUACAGCUUCAUAUUAUUGCUGGAAUUGAUGAGCCAUGAGUUUCUUGGCUCGUCAAGGACUUGAAGCUGAAAUGUUUCGCUGCAUAGAGGAAGACCUUCGGGACGUCAGAGUUUCCUCUGGGAUGAAGAAACGCCGGAGCAGAGCUUGCUCAACGCUGGCAGCAGAACCCCCAUCAGAACCGCAGGUCCAGACUCCCAGUCCGGUUUAUGGAGAGGAAACUCAACCGGAUCCAGACCAAAAUUUAAAUCAGAUUAAAUACUUUAUGACGGACCGUUGAUUGAUUGAACCAAGAAGGAGGAACAACCUGCACAAAUGUAGAACAACAAAAUAUUCCUUUUGCUGCCAUUUUCCCUUUAAAUCCAGUUGAAGCCGAACGUUUUAUCAUUGAGCUGUUUGGUUAAAUUAGUGUCUGAAUGUUUCUGUUAACGUGAUUUAAACAACUUCAGAAAGUUGUAAAUAUGUCUUCAUAAGGAAAGGGUGUACUUUCUUUUUCAAAUUGCUGUGUGUUGAGUUUUCACCCUCA